rnacentral:rRNA from 1 species
AUUGAACGCUGGCGGCAGGCCUAACACAUGCAAGUCGAGCGGAUGAGUGGAGCUUGCUCCAUGAUUCAGCGGCGGACGGGUGAGUAAUGCCUAGGAAUCUGCCUGGUAGUGGGGGACAACGUUUCGAAAGGAACGCUAAUACCGCAUACGUCCUACGGAAGAAAGUGGGGGAUCUUCGGACCUCACGCUAUCAGAUGAGCCUAGGUCGGAUUAGCUAGUUGGUGAGGUAAAGGCUCACCAAGGCGACGAUCCGUAACUGGUCUGAGAGGAUGAUCAGGCACACUGGAACUGAGACACGGUCCAGACUCCUACGGGAGGCAGCAGUGGGGAAUAUUGGACAAUGGGCGAAAGCCUGAUCCAGCCAUGCCGCGUGUGUGAAGAAGGUCUUCGGAUUGUAAAGCACUUUAAGUUGGGAGGAAGGGCAGUAAGUUAAUACCUUGCUGUUUUGACGUUACCAACAGAAUAAGCACCGGCUAACUUCGUGCCAGCCGCCGCCGUAAGAC